rnacentral:rRNA from 2 species
GGGUUGUGAGGUUAAGCGACUAAGCGUACACGGUGGAUGCCCUGGCAGUCAGAGGCGAUGAAGGACGUGCUAAUCUGCGAAAAGCGCCGGCGAGGUGAUAUGAACCUUUGACCCGGCGAUGUCCGAAUGGGGAAACCCAGUGUGUUCCGACACACUAUCGUUAACUGAAUACAUAGGUUAACGAGGCGAACCGGGGGAACUGAAACAUCUAAGUACCCCGAGGAAAAGAAAUCAACCGAGAUUCCCCCAGUAGCGGCGAGCGAACGGGGAGCAGCCCAGAGUCUGAAUCAGCUUGUGUGUUAGUGGAA